UCCUACGGGAGGCAGCAGUGGGGAAUAUUGGACAAUGGGCGCAAGCCUGAUCCAGCCAUGCCGCGUGAGUGAUGAAGGCCUUAGGGUUGUAAAGCUCUUUUGCCGGGGACGAUAAUGACGGUACCCGGAGAAUAAGUCCCGGCUAACUUCGUGCCAGCAGCCGCGGUAAU
rnacentral:rRNA from 1 species